rnacentral:tRNA from 1 species
GUUUAUAUAAUUUAUAAAGAAUAUUGUGUUGAAGUUACAAAAGAGGUAUUUAUCUAUAGACA